GGGCGGUUAGCUCAGUGGGAGAGCGCUUCGUUCACACCGAAGAGGUCGCUGGUUCGAAUCCAGCACCGCCCACCA
rnacentral:tRNA from 1 species